CUCCAUGUAGCUCAGUUCGGUAGAGCGCGUCGUUUGGGACGAUGAGGUCGCGGGUUCGAUGCCUGCCAUGGUGACCA
rnacentral:tRNA from 1 species